rnacentral:rRNA from 1 species
AACGAACGCUGGCGGCAUGCCUAACACAUGCAAGUCGAACGAAACCUUCGGGUCUAGUGGCGCACGGGUGCGUAACGCGUGGGGACCUGCCCUUAGGUUCGGCAUAACUCCCCGAAAGGGGUGCUAAUACCGGCUAAUGUCUUCGGACCAAAGGUUUAUCGCGUUUGGAUGGGCCCGCGUUGGAUUAGCUAGUUGGGAGGGUAAAAGGCUACCAAGGCGACGAUACAUAGCUGGCCUGAGAGGAUGAUCAGCCACACUGGUACUGAGACACGGCCCAGAAUACUACGGGAGGCAGCAGUGGGGAAUAUUGGACAAUGGGCGAAAGCCUGAUCCAGCAAUGCCGCGUGAGUGAUGAAGGCCUUAGGGUUGUAAAGCUCUUUUACCCGGGAUGAUAAUGACAGUACCGGGAGAAUAAGCUCCGGCUAACUCCGUG